rnacentral:misc_RNA from 1 species
UCCGGCUUACACCGGCGGUCUCCUGCGAGUGCCCAUCUUUCAUGCUGGUAACACAGGACGAGGGUUGCGCUCGUUGGCGGACUUAACCGUACACCUCACGGCACGAGCUGACGACAGCCAUGCAACAAGUGUCUUCACGUCCCCUUGUGGGGGAGGGCCCUGUUUCUAGGGCUUGCGAUCGAUGUCAAGUCUGGGUAAGGUUCUUCGGUUAGUAUCGAAUUAAUCCACAUGCUCCACCGCUUGUGCGGGUCCCCGUCAAUUCAUUUGAGUUUCAACCUUGCGGCCGUACUCCCCAGGCGGGAUACUUAGUGCGUUAGCUGCGGCACGAGGGGGGUCGAUACCCCUCACGCCUAGUAUCCAUCGUUUAGGGCGUGGACUAC